rnacentral:rRNA from 1 species
GAUAAACGCUGGCGGCGUGCCUAACACAUGCAAGUCGAACGCCCUUUUGCGCAAGUGAGAGGGAGUGGCGGACGGGUGAGUACCACGUGGGUACCUACCUUGAGGUGAGGAAUACCACCGAGAAAUCGGUGACAAGACCGCAUACGCUUGGCAACAAGCAAAGUCUCGCAAGAGACGCCACAAGAUGGGCCUGCGCCUGAUUAGCUAGUUGGUGAGGUAAUGGCNCACCAAGGCGACGAUCAGUAGCUGGUCUGAGAGGAUGAUCAGCCACACUGGGAUUGAGAACGGCCCAGACUCCUACGGGGGCAGCAGUGAGGAAUUUUCGUCAAUGGGGGCAACCCUGAACGAGCAACGCCGCGUGCAGGACGACACUUUUCGGAGCGUAAACUGCUUUACGUGGGGACGAGAACAAGGACGGUACCCCAGCAAUAAGCCCCGGCUAACUACGUGCCAGCCGCCGCCGUAACACCUGAGACUGACG